rnacentral:rRNA from 1 species
GACGAACGCUGGCGGCGUGCUUAACACAUGCAAGUCGAACGGAAAGGCCCUGCUUUUGUGGGGUGCUCGAGUGACGAACGGGUGAGUAACACGUGAGUAACCUGCCCUUGACUUUGGGAUAACUUCAGGAAACUGGGGCUAAUACCGGAUAGGAGCUCCUGCUGCAUGGUGGGGGUUGGAAAGUUUCGGCGGUUGGGGAUGGACUCGCGGCUUAUCAGCUUGUUGGUGGGGUAGUGGCUUACCAAGGCUUUGACGGGUAGCCGGCCUGAGAGGGUGACCGGCCACAUUGGGACUGAGAUACGGCCCAGACUCCUACGGGAGGCAGCAGUGGGGAAUAUUGCACAAUGGGCGGAAGCCUGAUGCAGCAACGCCGCGUGCGGGAUGACGGCCUUCGGGUUGUAAACCGCUUUCGCCUGUGACGAAGCGUGAGUGACGGUAAUGGGUAAAGAAGCACCGGCUAACUACGUGCCAGCAGCCGCGGUGAUACGUAGGGUGCGAGCGUUGUCCGGAUUUAUUGGGCGUAAAGGGCUCGUAGGUGGUUGAUCGCGUCGGAAGUGUAAUCUUGGGGCUUAACCCUGAGCGUGCUUUCGAUACGGGUUGACUUGAGGAAGGUAGGGGAGAAUGGAAUUCCUGGUGGAGCGGUGGAAUGCGCAGAUAUCAGGAGGAACACCAGUGGCGAAGGCGGUUCUCUGGGCCUUUCCUGACGCUGAGGAGCGAAAGCGUGGGGAGCGAACAGGCUUAGAUACCCUGGUAGUCCACGCUGUAAACGGUGGGUACUAGGUGUGGGGUCCAUUCCACGGGUUCCGUGCCGUAGCUAACGCUUUAAGUACCCCGCCUGGGGAGUACGGCCGCAAGGCUAAAACUCAAAGGAAUUGACGGGGCCCCGCACAAGCGGCGGAGCAUGCGGAUUAAUUCGAUGCAACGCGUAGAACCUUACCUGGGUUUGACAUGGAUCGGGAGUGCUCAGAGAUGGGUGUGCCUCUUUUGGGGUCGGUUCACAGGUGGUGCAUGGCUGUCGUCAGCUCGUGUCGUGAGAUGUUGGGUUAAGUCCCGCAACGAGCGCAACCCUUGUUCACUGUUGCCAGCACGUUAUGGUGGGGACUCAGUGGAGACCGCCGGGGUCAACUCGGAGGAAGGUGGGGAUGACGUCAAGUCAUCAUGCCCCUUAUGUCCAGGGCUUCACGCAUGCUAUAAUGGCUGGUACAGAGAGUGGCGAGCCUGUGAGGGUGAGCGAAUCUCGGAAAGCCGGUCUCAGUUCGGAUUGGGGUCUGCAACUCGACCUCAUGAAGUCGGAGUCGCUAGUAAUCGCAGAUCAGCAACGCUGCGGUGAAUACGUUCCCGGG